CCAGGGAGUUCCCAGGGUCUGCUCUUCCACUGGGGAGUGGAAGAGAGAUAUCCUGUUCAAGGCUGGUUCAGCCACCAGCUAGAUUCAGGAGCCCUGACUCCUGAUGGAAUGGUGAACCAGGGUGGAAACCAGGACAUGAAAUAAGGCUGCAGAAACUACGUGCUGAAAGGAAUAUAGUUGUGUGGGGAAUCUAGUAUGUCAACAUCACCAGUGUAGCGUUUACUGCAUGUAAAUGCCAAGAGGUAGAAUUGUUGAGUAAUGUACUAACUAUAUGUUUAUCUGCGUGAGAAACUUCAAGAUCAUCUUUCAUUCCCACAAGCAAUGUGUGAGACUUUCAGCUCCACAUCUUCAUCGACGUUUUUAGUAAUUCUAUGCUCUUUGAACAUUUUAUUUCAGAAAUUCUAUUUUUUAGUUGUAGAAUUUCCAUGUGAUCCUACUUUUCUGUUUCUACUCUUUAUACUUCUUGUUU
rnacentral:lncRNA from 1 species